AUUGAACGCUGGCGGCAGGCCUAACACAUGCAAGUCGAACGAGUGGCGGACGGGUGAGUAAUGUCUGGGCAACUGCCUGAUGGAGGGGGAUAACUACUGGAAACCGUAGCUAAUACCGCAUACCGCGCGAUCUGCCCAGAGGGGAUUAGCUAGUAGGGGGGGUAAAGGCUCACCUUGGCGACGAUCCCUAGCUGGGCUGAGAGGAUGACCAGCCACACUGGAACUGAGACACGGUCCAGACUCCUACGGGAGGCAGCAGUGGGGAAUAUUGCACAAUGGGCGCAAGCCUGAUGCAGCCAUGCCGCGUGUAUGAAGAAGGCCUUCGGGUUGUAAAGGACUUUCAGCGGGGAGGCGUUACCUGCAGAAGAAGCACCGGCUAACUCCGUGCCAGCAGCCGCGGUAAUAC
rnacentral:rRNA from 1 species